UAGGGAAUCUUCGGCAAUGGGGGCAACCCUGACCGAGCAACGCCGCGUGAGUGAAGAAGGUUUUCGGAUCGUAAAGCCCUGUUGUAAGAGAAGAACGUGUGUGAGAGUGGAAAGUUCACACAGUGACGGUAACUUACCAGAAAGGGACGGCUAACUACGUGCCAGCAGCCGCGGUAAUACGUAGGUCCCGAGCGUUGUCCGGAUUUAUUGGGCGUAAAGCGAGCGCAGGCGGUUUAAUAAGUCUGAAGUUAAAGGCAGUGGCUUAACCAUUGUUCGCUUUGGAAACUGUUAAACUUGAGUGCAGAAGGGGAGAGUGGAAUUCCAUGUGUAGCGGUGAAAUGCGUAGAUAUAUGGAGGAACACCGGUGGCGAAAGCGGCUCUCUGGUCUGUAACUGACGCUGAGGCUCGAAAGCGUGGGGAGCAAACAGG
rnacentral:rRNA from 1 species